GGCGGCUUCGCCCAUUCCAUCGUGCGCCGGCGACUGCCGCCGCCGUGCCUCGCGCGGGAGGACGGAGGGCGCUCACCGGGAGGAUGGAGGACGGCGCGGCGAAGCGGGGCAGUGGUGGUGGCGUGUGCGGCGGAGACGGCGCGGCAAGGCCGGGCAGUGGCGGUGAUUGACCGGCCGUCGUGCCUCGCGCGGGAGGAUGGACGACGCUCGCCGGGGCGUGUGCGGCGGAGACGGCUUCUUCCGCGCGUCGAGGUGGAGCAGCAGAGGAAGGGAAGGCAAGAAGGCAAGGUGGGUACGCUGUGCACCAGGGCCGCCUUCGUCCUCCACCUCCUCCAAAAGCACGCGCUCGCCGCGGGCGGUGGCAGUGGCACGAUGGUCCUCGCCCUUGGGUGCGCGGGUGCGCGGACGCGUUGGGGAUCGAGGAAGCUCUCCUCCCUCGCGGCUGGAGGUGCUCGGGAUCGAGCGAGUGGGCGAGGGGAUCGGGGCCCCUGCUGGCUGCCUGAUUGGCGAUUGCACGCGAUGCUGGGCUGGCCGACUCGAUCUCCUUGACCCAGGGCCCGUGCUCGUCAGCGCCUGCCCCAUCGCGCAUGACUUCUCUGAUCCAGCGCGCAGCGAGGGCGCGGCCGCUGCCAGUCUCGCCGCCGCCCUGUCACGGAUCGCCACGCCCAUCUCCUCUGAUCUGAACACCUCUCCUCCAUCCCCUGUUGCGAUCAUCCCUUGCUUAACGAGAAAAAAAAAUCCAAUGCCUACACACAUGUAUCUUCCCUCUCAAACUAUACAUUUCCUACAAGCCAUGGCGACAUUCACCUACAACUAUUCGGACAAGGACGGGGAGGAGUGGACCAUGGCUGCACCGAGGUCCACCCACUAGCGGCCGGCCACCGUGGCUGCAACGAGGAUUCCCUCACCAAGCCUCGCCGGCGUUCCGGAUCACCAAGGUACUUCCUCCUCCAGGAUUUUCUUGGUGAGAAAACACAAAAAUAUAAAUAUGAAUAUUUGCCCAUGAAGCUGCUCUGGUUUGUCUUUUAGAGUUUACUCCCAUUUACUCGUGUCGUUCUACAAUAAUAACAGAAUUGAUAUCAAUUAGACUUCUUUGAGUUUACUGAAAUUUAAUGGUUUGCCAUGGAAUAUGAAAUUUGAGAAUGACACCUGCUGAAUUGAAAAUAAUCUAGCGAGCAAUAGUAUAUAAUGAAUAGUUAUUACCGUAUCGGCAUCACAUUGCUCUAUGGAUGAAUAACACGACAAUAAACUGGCAAAAUGGAAAGGCUUUGUUUAGUGUGGGUACCAAGCAGGAAAGUAGUUAACGGAGAUAGACUAUUUGACAGUUGCACAACUGGAGUGAGAUACUAUUUGCUUUCUUGUAUAGUGAAGAUGGCCUAUUUUGUGGUGUAAUAUAACUAUGGUAGCUCUCUGGAGUGAGAAUGCCGAAGCCCUAAAAAAGCCAUCAACAUGGAGUUCCUGCCAUUAAGGAAAAAAAAACUAGCAGAGAAACAGCUCGGGAAAUUGUAAGUUUAUCUUGGUUUUUGAAUGUACAGCCCUGUAACCAGAGAAGCUUGUUCUCAAUUAUAGUAUGCUUAUUUUCCCCGAGCUAUUUCUCUGCUAGCUAUUGUUCUCAAGCAACUAACAAACUAUGUAUAGAAGAAGUCUUAGUAGGGAGCUAUUUCGAAACAAGAUGAGGAAAACCUCAAGGAUUUAAACAGUAAAAUACGAACCUGCACAUGAUCAUAUAAUGUACGGAUCACAGGCUGGCCAAAGCCUUCUUUCAAGUCUCCUAACAUUGUCUGCUUAAUUUUCACUACCUGCAAGUACAACUAGCUAGAAAUUUGGGUAUGUUGCUAUGUGCCUUGAGUUUGUAAGACAAGUUCUCUUUGCUUCCAGGAGAGUUUGACCACUCAUAUCUCUCUUUUUCUUGCAACCUGCACUUAGUAGGUUGCUUUUUCUAUGAUAUAUAUUGUUUCAUUCUGGUUGCUGAAUAUGAUAGUCGUAGCCCGUCAGAAAAAUAUGACAGCCCAUUGAUUCUUCGUAAAAGGUAUAGUGACUGUUGAAAAGUUUACCUGAUCUUCCAUUUAUAUUUUUCAAAAGACAGUCCUAGAGAUGUUGCUUUAUUUGAAUUCUGCUUAUUGCAUUUAUUGGAGCACCUGCAAUGGGCAAAUUGAAUGUUUAAAUGUUCCUCUUGUUGUUGACCACACUACAGUUGAUUAUAUCUCAUUGAGACCUGAAUCAUCUUACAUGGUUAUUCAACAUUGAAGCUGCUUGCAUUGAUCCACAAUAGAUCUUGACUUCGGCGAAAAAUGAGGUUCUGUACACACUAUUUUCAGAAGCUUGUGUGGCAGCAACAAUAUUUGUACCACGACAUGUAGUCGAAACAGAGGGAAAAACUUUGUAGAGAUUGAAGUUUCACUGUUACAAACACAAUAAAGGUUUCAUGGUGGCAGUGCCUUCUUCUACAUGAUGGGAAUUCGACGGCAUUUUGUUGUUUUGUUGUUAAAUACCAACUGGGCAUGUCGUUUAUUCUCAGAUCAAGUAAUAUGACCAUCUCUUGCAGACAAAACGCUCGGGGAAAGUCCCAGUCGUGCACCUGUGAUCGCUGGAACGACAUACUGUUUUAGGAACGCAAUACAGACUGGUCAGGACGUUUGUGUCUAUAGGAUGGAAUUACAUGAUAUGUCAAAAUGGUGGUCUUUAUUAUGCAAUUUAACUGAUCUCUUGUUGAACCCCUCCUUUUCCAGAAAAAAACUAUUAUUUAAUCUUUGAAGUUUAAUCUUCUGUCUACAUAGUUUUACUGAUAAUUGAAUGCAUUAGUUCAUAGCAUUUUGUGGUGAAAAUCUAGGUCAACAACCAUAUAUAUACUAAGGUGAACUUACUACUGACUGCAUUUCCUGUUAACAGAGUUUACUGUUUGAUAUUUGGGACCCUCAAUUUCGCUCAGAAUCUCAUUAUCCAGACGUUGUCCUGUCAUAUUUUUUCUUGAUAAUCAAAGUGAAUUUCUUUGAAAUUAUUCCAACUCUGCAACUGGUGGAGGGUUGCGCUUAACUAAGGUCCCAAAAGGGAAACAAUCAUGUUCUUUGUUAACAAUCGAGUAAAACAAAGCAUCAUUGUGUCGUCUUACUUUGAAUAGUUUAGGCGGCAGCUUCUUUUGUGUGGCGUAACAAUACAUGGAGUUCCUGUUUCAAUAGGGCUCUAUUAAGUUGCAACCAAGCAAGUGCAUGGUCAUGCCAGAUACUUUUGUUCUUAAUAUUGUGUAGGUUUCUAUAUGUUGAAUUUAUAGAAGCAUUAUUAAGCUCAUGCUUUCAGGGAAAUGAUUGACAAUGGCACUUUUGAGCUAUGAUGCUCAUAUGUUACCAAAUGAUAUCAUUUCAACCCAACAAAGAAUGUUGAUACUAGAGUUCAUACUCCAUCUGAUUUUACUUCCUAUCAUUUUCAGCCUGUUAUGUAGAAGAUUUAUACAUGGCAGCUACAUGAAUGGGAAUCAGCAGUAAACAGAAUGCAGGGUUCAUCAAAUGGGUAACAAGAAAAAGGCUACCCCCAAAACCUGCAUUGUUUGUCUUCUAUUUUGAACCUCAUGGACUCAAGCUUCAGAUACCAUCUAACGGACCGAAGCAGAGAUCACAUAAGUUUCGGUUAUAUAGCUUUCUGAAGAGAGCUGGAUGGCUUUUACUAAGAUGGUACAAAAUGUAUGUUUUGUAGUCAAAUCAUUAGCUCAUGCUUUUUUUC